AUGGUAUAAAUUGGCUUCCAUGGAUUGGUUUCAAUUCUGAAUGCUUUUAUGGAGCCAAAGCUCAUCUCCGCACUCUUGGGCUGCAUGCUGUAAUCCUGGGGGACUGGGAUUAGUCCUGUGGCUUUGCUCUCUGGCCCCUUGAGAUUAAGCACCUGCUGUGCUGGAGGGGCUGAGGUGUUCCCAGUUCACUUGCAACAACACUCUGGCAGGGUCUGCUGGCAAAAUUGCUCCAGUGGGGCAGUGGGGGUCUCCACACACAUGUGCACCAAUGGAGGAGGCUGCAGAGAGACUUCAAUUAUUUUAUUUGAUGUGCCACUGGACAGACCUGUAAAUGGAAGCUCAAGGAAUCCAGUGAGUUGUCUCUGGAAAAGAGCAGAGCAGAUGAACACAACAGAUGAAGCUAUUAAUGCAGCUUUACCUUACUGACCCACAGCACUUCGAGUCUGAGUUUCCUCUGGACCAAGUGCUUAUCUUCUCUAUACAGAUUGGGGAUUCUAUCUCCCAAGAAUGCAAUAACAGCCCCUUUUGAAUAUUCUAAUUCCAAGACUCAUUGC
rnacentral:antisense_RNA from 1 species